ACGGAGGGAGCUAGCGUUGUUCGGAAUUACUGGGCGUAAAGCGUACGUAGGCGGUGACUCAAGUCAGAGGUGAAAGCCUGGAGCUCAACUCCAGAACUGCCUUUGAAACUAGGUCGCUAGAAUCACGGAGAGGUGAGUGGAAUUCCGAGUGUAGAGGUGAAAUUCGUAGAUAUUCGGAAGAACACCAGUGGCGAAGGCGGCUCACUGGACGUGUAUUGACGCUGAGGUACGAAAGCGUGGGGAGCAAACAGGAUUAGAUACCCUGGUAGUCCACGCCGUAAACGAUGAUAACUAGCUGCCAGGGCUCUUAGAGCUUUGGUGGCGCAGCUAACGCAUUAAGUUAUCCGCCUGGGGAGUACGGUCGCAAGAUUA
rnacentral:rRNA from 1 species